rnacentral:rRNA from 1 species
GUCAGCGGCGGACGGGUGAGUAACACGUGGGCAACCUGCCUGUAAGACUGGGAUAACUCCGGGAAACCGGAGCUAAUACCGGAUAGUAUCUUGAACCGCAUGGUUCAAGUUGGAAAGACGGUUUCGGCUGUCACUUACAGAUGGGCCCGCGGCGCAUUAGCUAGUUGGUGAGGUAAUGGCUCACCAAGGCAACGAUGCGUAGCCGACCUGAGAGGGUGAUCGGCCACACUGGGACUGAGACACGGCCCAGACUCCUACGGGAGGCAGCAGUAGGGAAUCUUCCGCAAUGGACGAAAGUCUGACGGAGCAACGCCGCGUGAGUGAUGAAGGUUUUCGGAUCGUAAAACUCUGUUGUUAGGGAAGAACAAGUGCGAGAGUAACUGCUCGCACCUUGACGGUACCUAACCAGAAAGCCACGGCUAACUACGUGCCAGCAGCCGCGGUAAUACGUAGGUGGCAAGCGUUGUCCGGAAUUAUUGGGCGUAAAGCGCGCGCAGGCGGUUUCUUAAGUCUGAUGUGAAAGCCCCCGGCUCAACCGGGGAGGGUCAUUGGAAACUGGGAAACUUGAGUGCAGAAGAGGAGAGUGGAAUUCC